AGCGAACGUUGGCGGCGUGGAUUAGGCAUGCAAGUCGAACGCGAACGUCGGGCUUCGGCCUGACUAGUAGAGUGGCGAACGGGUGAGUAACGCGUGGGCAAUCUGCCCUCUAGUGGGGAAUAACCUCUCUAACGAGUGGCUAAUUCCGCAUGUGACCGUUUCUUCGCAUGGAGAGACGGGGAAAGGUGGGGAUCUUCGGACCUGCCGCUAGAGGAGGAGCCCGCGUCCCAUUAGCUUGUUGGCGGGGUAACGGCCCACCAAGGCGACGAUGGGUAGCCGAUCUGAGAGGAUGACCGGCCACACUGGGACUGAGAUACGGCCCAGACUCCUACGGGAGGCAGCAGUCGAGAGGCUUCGGCAAUGGGGGAAACCCUGACCGAGCGACGCCGCGUGCGGGAAGACGGCUUUCGGGUUGUAAACCGCUGUCAGGAGGGAAGAAUCCCCACGGGUGAAUACCCCGUGGGUUGACGGUACCUCCAAAGGAAGCUCCGGCUAACUCCGUG
rnacentral:rRNA from 1 species